GACGAACGCUGGCGGCGUGCUUAACACGUGCAAGUCGAACGGAAAGGCCCUGCUUUUGUGGGGUGCUCGAGUGGCGAACGGGUGAGUAACACGUGAGUAACCUGCCCUUGACUUUGGGAUAACUUCAGGAAACUGGGGCUAAUACCGGAUAGGAGCUCCUGCUGCAUGGUGGGGGUUGGAAAGUUUCGGCGGUUGGGGAUGGACUCGCGGCUUAUCAGCUUGUUGGUGGGGUAGUGGCUUACCAAGGCUUUGACGGGUAGCCGGCCUGAGAGGGUGACCGGCCACAUUGGGACUGAGAUACGGCCCAGACUCCUACGGGAGGCAGCAGUGGGGAAUAUUGCACAAUGGGCGGAAGCCUGAUGCAGCAACGCCGCGUGCGGGAUGACGGCCUUCGGGUUGUAAACCGCUUUCGCUCAUGACGAAGCUUUGUGUGACGGUAGUGGGUAAAGAAGCACCGGCUAACUACGUG
rnacentral:rRNA from 1 species